CAGCCGUAAACUAUGCGCGUUAGGUGUAUCGGUGACCACGAGUUACCGAGGUGCCGAAGGGAAACCGUGAAACGUGCCGCCUGGGAAGUACGGUCGCAAGGCUGAAACUUAAAGGAAUUGGCGGGGGAGCACCACAACAGGUGGAGCCUGCGGUUUAAUUGGAUUCAACACCGUAAAACUCACCAGGGAAGACUGUUACAUGAAAGCCGAGAUGAAGACUCUGCUAGAUUUUCAGAGAGGAGGUGCAUGGCGUCA
rnacentral:rRNA from 1 species